rnacentral:rRNA from 1 species
UACAGAGGGUGCAAGCGUUGUUCGGAAUUACUGGGCGUAAAGGGCGUGUAGGCGGUUUAGCAAGUCAGAUGUGAAAUCCCCGGGGCUUAACUCCGGAAGUGCAUUUGAAACUGCUAGGCUAGAGUAGAGUAGAGGUUGGCGGAAUACCCAGUGGAGAGGUGAAAUUCGUAGAUAUUGGGUGGAACACCGGUGGCGAAGGCGGCCAACUGGGCUCUUACUGACGCUGAGGCGCGAGAGCGUGGGGGAGCAAACAGG